rnacentral:rRNA from 1 species
UGAAGAUAAGACGGAUUAGCGGCGGACGGGUGAGUAACACGUGAGUAACCUGCCUUUUACACAGGGAUAGCCUCGGGAAACCGGGAUUAAAACCUGAUGAAACUAUCAAACCACAUGAUUAAGAAAGUUAAAACUCCGGUGGUAAAAGAUGGACUCGCGUCCCAUUAGCUAGUUGGUGAAGGUAACGGCCCACCAAGGCAACGAUGGGUAGCCGGCCUGAGAGGGUGAACGGCCACAUUGGAACUGAGAAACGGUCCAAACUCCUACGGGAGGCAGCAGUA